rnacentral:lncRNA from 1 species
UUUCAAUGCAGAAAUUCAGUGCCAUGCAGUCACCCGGAUAAAGCAGCACUUACCUUAAUUGAAAUUUUCUCUGUGAACGAGCAGAGGCAUUAUCCUUUGAAAGCGAUAGGUGGCUCUGGCCUCCCGCUCCUCUUGGAUCCAUCAGUACUAGCCUUAAGCUAUUGUGCCCUCUCAAAGACUCAAGCCACAUCCAAGCAAUACUCCUUCCAGAGAUGGCUGAUUACUAACUCUGCAGGACCAUUCAACUGAGCUACUAGAUUUGAUAAAGUCAACUUCUUUUCUCUCCAGUUUUGUUUCGUGUUGUAGAUGCUUUCCGCUUCAGUUGAGAGUUCAGUGGAUGAGACUGGAGUCACAUUGGAAGGGCAAGACUGCAGAGAAUGCAGGGGAAGGAUCAGCUGAUGGACAGUCUUCUACUGACACUGAUGGACAGGUGGUAAGGCCAUACACAGGUUCAGAUAAAGUAUAGGUGUGAGAGGGGCAUGUUUUGUUGAAGUAGAGAAUCUACUCAAGAAUGUUGCUCAAAUUAUUGAAUUUGUAAAAACACCAGUGUACACUGGAAUUAAUCUGAAUCUUGAGAAAUAAAGUGGACACACAGGAAAUUUUUCUUAUCUCUUAUCUCUUGCUAAUGGUGUUACUAAAGCCGUAUGAAAAUGGAUUCAUUACUUAACUUCUCUGUGCCUCACUUCCCUUAUCU